GACAGAGGCCUCAAGCGUUAGGCGGAAUCACUGGGCUUAAAGCGUGUGUAGGCGGAUCGUUAAGUGUCUUGUGAAAUCCCACGGCUCACCCGUGGAACUGCUGGGCAUACUGGCGAUCUUGGGCCAACUAGGGGCAACUGGAACAAGCGGUGGAGCGGUGAAAUGCGUAGAUAUCGCUUGGAACGCCGAAGGUGAAAACAGGUUGCUGGGGUUGUGCCGACG
rnacentral:rRNA from 1 species